ACCAUUGCAUUUUCUUAAGCUUGCAGUUAUUUCUUCUGUUUUACUUCGUUUUCAAUGUCAUGACUUGUCAGACUUUGAUGGCUCUUCAGAAUUGACUAUGGGCCUCGUUUGGCAACUUUCUAAAACUAGAGAGGGUUAAUAACACUUUGCCCUCAAAAGUAUUGACGGACUCUCACUUUGGCUCUCAACCAAAAAAUUUUGUGCACUUUAACCAUUUUUAUUAAUUUUUCUCAGUUAGAACCAACUCUCUAAAUCUGUCCAACAAAUUAUUGAUCUAUGCUUCCUUAUUUGUCUAUCCACUAAUGGAUUUGGCAUGAUUCGCUUCACCUUGGAGAGGAUUUCGAAUAAAAAAGUUUUUUUAAAUUCGAAGUUGCAUUAUUUGCUCCCAUUUG
rnacentral:lncRNA from 1 species